GUAGGUGGCAAGCGUUGUCCGGAAUUAUUGGGCGUAAAGCGCGCGCAGGCGGUUCUUUAAGUCUGAUGUGAAAGCCCACGGCUCAACCGUGGAGGGUCAUUGGAAACUGGAGAACUUGAGUACAGAAGAGGAAAGCGGAAUUCCACGUGUAGCGGUGAAAUGCGUAGAGAUGUGGAGGAACACCAGUGGCGAAGGCGGCUUUCUGGUCUGUAACUGACGCUGAGGCGCGAAAGCGUGGGGAGCAAACUGGAUUAGAUACCCUGGUAGUCCACGCCGUAAACGAUGAGUGCUAAGUGUUAGGGGGUUUCCGCCCCCCUUAGUGCUGCAGCUAACGCAUUAAGCACUCCGCCUGGGAGUACGGCCGCAAGGCUG
rnacentral:rRNA from 1 species